CAAUCAAACAGACUCUCCCAAGCCUGUAGCAACAACAACACCAACCAGUCAAGCUUCCUUGCUUCCAUCUACCCAGGGCAGCAGCAGCCAGCCCAUGUUUUUGACUAACCCGCUAACCAGGAGCAUGGAGAACGUGCGCUUUUCUGAUUGAUGGACUCCUGGGUCUUCUUCAGCUCUGAUCCAGUGGUUUCAACAAAGAUGGUACAGCCAUUUGAAUCAGCAUCUUGACACGCAUCCAGCGCAGGGGAAAUGAUGUCAAGACCCUCCACAGGCCUCUCCCUAGUCUACAAUAAGAGCCCAGACAAAAUACGUGGCGCGAAUCUCUGAGCAUUCCGCAAAACGAACCAUAACAAGAAGGAAAGAAA